AGAGUUUGAUCAUGGCUCAGAACGAACGCUGGCGGCAGGCUUAACACAUGCAAGUCGAACGCCCCGCAAGGGGAGUGGCAGACGGGUGAGUAACGCGUGGGAAUCUACCGUACCCUACGGAAUAACGCAUGGAAACGUGUGCUAAUACCGUAUACGCCCUACGGGGGAAAGAUUUAUCGGGGUAUGAUGAGCCCGCGUUGGAUUAGCUAGUUGGCGGGGUAAAGGCCUACCAAGGCGACGAUCCAUAGCUGGUCUGAGAGGAUGACCAGCCACAUUGGGACUGAGACACGGCCCAAACUCCUACGGGAGGCAGCAGUGGGGAAUAUUGGACAAUGGGCGCAAGCCUGAUCCAGCCAUGCCGCGUGAGUGAUGAAGGUCUUAGGAUUGUAAAGCUCUUUCACCGGAGAAGAUAAUGACGGUAUCCGGAGAAGAAGCCCCGGCUAACUUCGUGCCAGCAGCCGCGGUAAUACGAAGGGG
rnacentral:rRNA from 1 species